GUACUCUUUGGAACUUGUCAAGCCACAGAACCCCGGCCAUCCACAACAGAAGUAACAUCACAGCCCGAUUCCAGUGGAAGGCUUUUGCUACUGAGGCAGAGGAGUAUCCACAGAAGAUCAGGCUGUGUCACAAUCUGUCUCGGCCACCCCAGGAGAUAGCAAAGGCUCUUGUGAUGAAGCGCUAUGAGGAGCUGGACCUUUACGACCGCGAGUUGGAGAAGGAGACAGCAAAGAUUGAAGCAGACUCCAUGCUCUUCUCAGAUGACGUUUUCACCAUUGAGCCCUUGGAGGGAGAGGUUGGGCCACAUUGUUCAGCUGAAAUCAAGGUGUUCUUUAAACCCCGAGAAGCCCAAGUCUACAGAAAAGUGGCC